CCUACGGGAGGCAGCAGUAGGGAAUCUUUCACAAUGGGCGAAAGCCUGAUGGAGCAACGCCGCGUGCAGGAUGAAGGCCUUCGGGUUGUAAACUGCUUUUAUAAGCGAGAAAUAUGAUGGUAACUUAUGAAUAAGGAUCGGCUAACUACGUGCCAGCAGCCGCGGUCAUACGUAGGAUCCGAGCAUUAUCCGGAGUGACUGGGUGUAAAGAGUUGCGUAGGUGGCAUAAUAAGUAGCUAGUGGAAUCGGGUGGCUCAACCACUCAGACUAUUAGCUAAACUGUUAAUCUCGAGAACGUUAGGGGUAACUGGAAUUUCUAGUGUAGGAGUGAAAUCCGUAGAUAUUAGAAGGAACACCAAUAGCGGAGGCAGGUUACUGGGACGGUUCUGACACUAAGGCACGAAAGCGUAGGGAGCAAACGGGAUUAGAUACCCCAGUAGUC
rnacentral:rRNA from 1 species